ACGCUGGCGGCGUGCUUAACACAUGCAAGUCGAACGAUGAAGCCUAGCUUGCUAGGUGGAUUAGUGGCGAACGGGUGAGUAAUACGUGAGUAACCUACCUUUAACUCUGGGAUAAGCCCGGGAAACUGGGUCUAAUACCGGAUACGACCAAUCUCCGCAUGGGGUGUUGGUGGAAAGCGUUAUGUAGUGGUUAUAGAUGGGCUCACGGCCUAUCAGCUUGUUGGUGAGGUAACGGCUCACCAAGGCGACGACGGGUAGCCGGCCUGAGAGGGUGACCGGCCACACUGGGACUGAGACACGGCCCAGACUCCUACGGGAGGCAGCAGUGGGGAAUAUUGCACAAUGGGCGCAAGCCUGAUGCAGCGACGCCGCGUGAGGGAUGACGGCCUUCGGGUUGUAAACCUCUGUUAGCAGGGAAGAAGAGAGAUUGACGGUACCUGCAGAGAAAGCGCCGGCUAACUACGUGCCAGCAGCCGCGGUAAUACGUAUGGCGCGAGCGUUGUCCGGAAUUAUUGGGCGUAAAGAGCUUGUAGGCGGUUUGUCGCGUCUGCUGUGAAAGGCCGGGGCUUAACUCCGUGUAUUGCAGUGGGUACGGGCAGACUAGAGUGCAGUAGGGGAGACUGGAAUUCCUGGUGUAGCGGUGGAAUGCGCAGAUAUCAGGAGGAACACCGAUGGCGAAGGCAGGUCUCUGGGCUGUAACUGACGCUGAGAAGCGAAAGCAUGGGGAGCGAACAGGAUUAGAUACCCUGGUAGUCCAUGCCGUAAACGUUGGGCACUAGGUGUGGGGGACAUUCCACGUUUUCCGCGCCGUAGCUAACGCAUUAAGUGCCCCGCCUGGGGAGUACGGCCGCAAGGCUAAAACUCAAAGAAAUUGACGGGGGCCCGCACAAGCGGCGGAGCAUGCGGAUUAAUUCGAUGCAACGCGAAGAA
rnacentral:rRNA from 1 species